rnacentral:rRNA from 1 species
CGCCUACGGGGGGCAGCAGUGAGGAAUAUUGGUCAAUGGACGAGAGUCUGAACCAGCCAAGUAGCGUGAAGGAUGACUGCCCUAUGGGUUGUAAACUUCUUUUAUAAAGGAAUAAAACGAGGCACGUGUGCCUUUUUGCAUGUACUUUAUGAAUAAGGAUCGGCUAACUACGUGCCAGCAGCCGCGGUAAUACGUAGGGGGCUAGCGUUAUCCGGAAUUACUGGGCGUAAAGGGUGCGUAGGUGGUUUCUUAAGUCAGAGGUGAAAGGCUACGGCUCAACCGUAGUAAGCCUUUGAAACUGGGGA